UACGUAGGGUGCGAGCGUUGUCCGGAAUUACUGGGCGUAAAGAGCUCGUAGGUGGUUUGUCGCGUUGUUCGUGAAAACUCACAGCUCAACUGUGGGCGUGCGGGCGAUACGGGCAGACUUGAGGUAUUCAGGGGGAGAACGGAAUUCCUGGUGUAGCGGUGAAAUGCGCAGAUAUCAGGAGGAACACCGGUGGCGAAGGCGGUUCUCUGGGCCUUACCUGGCGCUGAGGAGCGAAAGCGUGGGGAGCAAACAGG
rnacentral:rRNA from 1 species